CUGGCCUGGCUCCAGGCUUCGGCCACAGUCUUCCACCAGGAUGUGACUGAAGGCCUGGCCGAGGUCUGCAGGCCACCUGGAGGGCACCUGGAGAGCCAGGAGCGUGCGCUCCAGCCCCGGCACUGGAAGGCCUUGGCCACCGACACAGCAGCCUCAUCUUCUGGCUGGAUAAACUCACCUCAGAGCCAAGCGGCCCCGGAGAAGCUGCCUCUGUGGCCCGGUCUGCAGGGUGGAGUUACCGUGGGUCCCUCGCAUCAGACAUCUGCCUGCGGACCAGACACCUGCUCUCCUCCAAGGAGCCUCAAUGUCCAGAGAAGGGAUCCUGCGGUGACCGAGGGACAGGCCUGUCUUCUGGGUCACCACAUCUUGGCAUUUAUUAUUUGCCCCCAGGAAGGUCUGAAGGAUUUUACUUUUAAAAACCAUAGUCAGCCGGGCGCGGUGGCUAACGCCUGUAAUCCCAGCACUUAGGGAGGCCGAGGCGGGUGGAUCACCUGAGGUCAGGAGUUCAAGAACAAUCUGACCAACAUGCAGAAACCCUGUCUCUACUAAUACUACAAAAUUAGCCAGGUGUGGUGGUGGGCGCCCGUAAUCCCAGCUACUUGGGGGGCUGAGGCAGGAGAAUUGCUUGAACCUGCGGGGUGGAGGUUGCAGUGAGCUGAGAUCACACCAUUGCACUCCAGCCUGGGCAACAAGAGCGAAACUCUG
rnacentral:lncRNA from 1 species